rnacentral:rRNA from 1 species
GAUUGAACGCUGGCGGCAGGCCUAACACAUGCAAGUCGAACGGUAACAGGAAACAGCUUGCUGUUUCGCUGACGAGUGGCGGACGGGUGAGUAAUGUCUGGGAAACUGCCUGAUGGAGGGGGAUAACUACUGGAAACGGUAGCUAAUACCGCAUAACGUCGCAAGACCAAAGAGGGGGACCUUCGGGCCUCUUGCCAUCGGAUGUGCCCAGAUGGGAUUAGCUAGUACGUGGGGUAACGGCUCACCUAUGCGACGAUCCCUAGCUGGUCUGAGAGGAUGACCAGCCACACUGGAACUGAGACACGGUCCAGACUCCUACGGGAGGCAGCAGUGGGGAAUAUUGCACAAUGGGCGCAAGCCUGAUGCAGCCAUGCCGCGUGUAUGAAGAAGGCCUUCGGGUUGUAAAGUACUUUCAGCGGGGAGGAAGGGAGUAAAGUUAAUACCUUUGCUCAUUGACGUUACCCGCAGAAGAAGCACCGGCUA